GAUUUCUGACAUUGGAUCGGUUGACCCGACCAGGUUACUGGUUGUGUGUUGAUUUUUGAUCCUGUCAUCCUUGUAUAUAUUGAUUUUUUUUAUCUGUAAAAAGAUUUCAAUUAUCAAAUAUAUAUACAUCGUUUACUUUGAACAAAUUAGAGUGUUUCAAGCAGGCAGUUUUCGCUUUGAAUACAUUAGCAUGGAAUAAUCGUUUAGGGCUUCGGUUCUAUUUCGUUGGUUUCGAGAGCUGAAGUAAUGAUUGAUAGGGAUAGUUGGGGGUGCUAGUAUUCAGAGGCCAGAGGUGAAAUUCUUGGAUUCUCUGAAGACUAACUUAUGCGAAAGCAUU
rnacentral:rRNA from 1 species